rnacentral:lncRNA from 1 species
GGCUGCCGGGAGGGGCUCAUUGUUCUGCCGGCCGCUUUGACUUCAUUUUCUGCUUUUCAUCCCAGGCCGGGAAGGUUUAGAAUGCAAAUGCGGGCUGCUUUUGUAGCUGUGCGUUUGUCUGGGAGCCGUGCGUUUGUCUGGGGUGAGAUCACAGCAAAAGGGUUUUGUUUGGCUUUUUAAAUUCUUCUGGGGAGAGCAAAAGAAGCUGGAGGAGUGCUGGGCGCAGAAGACCUCCCGGGCGGGGAGGCGGGGCAGGCAUGGGCCCAAUGGGAGCAGCCGUCGGCUUCUGCAGGCCUGGUUUGGAAAGGAACCGGGUCAGAAGGGUGCUGAACAUUAACUCCUUGUGGGCCUGGCGUUUGGGGAGUUGGGGGUUUCCAAGCUGCUCACCCCAGAACAUGCAGUCCACUAAUACUGUAUUUCUUGCUUCCUUUGUGCCACACCCUGGGGACAUUUCCAAAGAGAAAGGUGACGUCCAGCCCUUUCACGUGACUGCAUCUAAGUGUCCUCUGCCAGAAGUGGAUAUUCGGGCACUUCAUCCUCACGACCCUGUGUUACCCAAGUGACCACCUGGUAAUUACUUCAACAGCAGAGCGACUCAUACAGCCAGCAGUCCACUUUGUUCUUCUAUAGAUCCUGCCUGUGGUGUUGGAUCUAACAGCUUCUUCCCUGACCCAAGAUUAUGAAGGAUUUCUCCUGUGUUCUCUUCUAAAAAUUUUAUAUUUAGGUAUAUAAUCCAUUUUGAGCUAAUUCUUUUAAAUAGUGCAAAGUAUGGAUUGAAGUUCUUUUUUUUUUUUUUUUGCAGAUACAUAUUUAAUUUUUCCAGCACCAUUUGUUGAAAAGACUAAUGUUCUUGCCUGAAUAGCCUUUGCAUUGUUGUUGAAAAUCAUGUUCACACAUGUACACAUUCCACUGAUCUAUUUGCCUCUUUGUGAAAAUACUACUAUUUUGAUUAAUAUAGAUUUAUAGGGAGUCUUAAAA